rnacentral:rRNA from 1 species
GUAUUGGACAAUGGGGGCAACCCUGAUCCAGCAAUGCCGCGUGAGUGAUGAAGGCCUUAGGGUUGUAAAGCUCUUUCGGCGGGGAAGAUGAUGACGGUACCCGCAGAAGAAGCCCCGGCUAACUUCGUGCCAGCAGCCGCGGUAAUACGAAGGGGGCUAGCGUUGUUCGGAUUUACUGGGCGUAAAGGGCGCGUAGGCGGUGCGAUAAGUCAGGCGUGAAAGCCCCGGGCUCAACCCGGGAACAGCGCUUGAUACUGUUGCGCUUGAAUCCAGGAGAGGAUGGCGGAAUUCCCAGUGUAGAGGUGAAAUUCGUAGAUAUUGGGAAGAACACCAGUGGCGAAGGCGGCCAUCUGGCCUGGCAUUGACGCUGAGGCGCGAAAGCGUGGGGAGCAAACAGG